GCGGCGGACGGGUGAGUAACACGUGGGCAACCUGCCCUGCAGACUGGGAUAACUUCGGGAAACCGGAGCUAAUACCGGAUAACACCGAAAACCGCAUGGUUUUCGGUUGAAAGGCGGCUUUUAGCGGUCACUGCAGGAUGGGCCCGCGGCGCAUUAGCUAGUUGGUGAGGUAACGGCUCACCAAGGCGACGAUGCGUAGCCGACCUGAGAGGGUGACCGGCCACACUGGGACUGAGACACGGCCCAGACUCCUACGGGAGGCAGCAGUAGGGAAUCUUCCGCAAUGGACGAAAGUCUGACGGAGCAACGCCGCGUGAGCGAAGAAGGUCUUCGGAUCGUAAAGCUCUGUUGUCAGGGAAGAACAAGUGCCGUUCGAACAGGGCGGUACCUUGACGGUACCUGACGAGGAAGCCACGGCUAACUACGUGCCAGCAGCCGCGGUAAUAC
rnacentral:rRNA from 1 species